AUGAGAGGAUUCCUGCUGGUCGGGCUGCUAGCGGUGCUGGCUGUGGCGGUCAGUGAGGCAGCGCUGCUGUCCAAAUGUGACGUGAAGACCCGUCUCCAGGAGGCCAUGCAGAAACUGCCGAAAGACACGCAACGCAAGCUCAAGGAAGACAACUUCAUGGCCAAGACUGUCUGUUAUGCUGAACAAACCUCUGGCUUCAACACCAGAGCUGUGGUUGAGGUGAAAGAGGAACACCAUGAGAAACCGUCAGUCGAUGAAGAAAAACCUGAAGAAAGGGAUGGAGCACGUCGUAGGAGACGGGCGGUGGCGGUCAGAGCAAGAUCUUUCGUAAUAGGCAGCAACCGCAUAAGCAUCUACAACCAAAGCAGCAGCAGCAGCAGCACUGGAAGCAGCAAUAGCUCCAGCAGCAGCAACAGCACCGGCGGCAGCACUGCCACCGGAAACAGCAACAGCACCAGCACCAGCACCAGCGGCACUGCCACCGGAAACAGCAACAGCACCAGCGGCGGCAGCUCUGCCACUGGAAACAGCACUGGCAGCAGCAGUGGAACCGGCACUGGCGGCAGCACUGGUACCGGUGGCAGCACUGGCACUGGCGGCAGCACUGGUACCGGUGGCAGCAGUGGAACCGGCACUGGCGGUAGCACUGGCACUGGUGGCAGCACUGGUACUGGCGGCAGCAGUGGAACUGGCACUGGUGGCAGCACUGGCACUGGUGGUAGCACCGGCACUGGUGGCAGCAGUGGGACCGGCACUGGCGGCAGCAGUGGCACUGGUGGUAGCACUGGCACUGGCGGCAGCACCGGCACUGGCGGGAGCAUUGGUACUGGUGGCAGCAGUGGAACCGGCACUGGUGGCAGCAGUGGAACUGGAGCUCAUGGCUUUUUUGGGAUCUUUCAGCUCAGCAAUCAUAUUGCGUGCAGGUCCGGUUCUGUACCUUCCCUGAACCUCUGCAACACAGACUGCACAGAAUUCCUCAAUGAUGACAUCCGUGAUGAUGCUGCCUGUGUUUUGAAGAUCAUAACCACAAAGCUGCAUGGAGGUGAACACCUAGAACAAGCUCUGGAGCUGAAGGAGUGCAAGAAGAUCAACUCCAAGUUCUUCAACGGCUGUAAAUAAGCAGCAAAUAGUUCAAAAAUUCAUUAUUCUAAAUUAUACACGUGAUUUGUUCUUAAUAAUUUCAAAAUAAGAAGAAAAAUGUUUUCUGAAAUUGAGAAGAUGUCAUAGAUGUCAUUAUGAAUGUAAUUAUCUGAACUUUACUACUCAGUAAUACUAAUCUUUUGCAGUUCUAGUUAGACGCUAACUGCAUCUCAUUGGCUCUUGCACUAUGACAAUAAAGGUUGAUCUAGUUUACA
rnacentral:lncRNA from 1 species